rnacentral:snRNA from 1 species
GUGCCAAAACAUCAAGAGUAAGGAGAAUUGCGUUUGGGUUUGAAACCCCAGACGACCACUUUGAUGGUGCAAAUUUUUGAAAGGGAGAGGUUCUGAACGAGGUGGCCUGCCUACUUUGUAGGCUGCACGUUCGGAGUCUGCCCU